rnacentral:rRNA from 1 species
GACGAACGCUGGCGGCGUGCUUAACACAUGCAAGUCGAACGGUAUUUAUCCGGUAGUAAUAUUGGGUAAAUAUAGUGGCGGACGGGUGAGUAACGCGUGAGCAAUCUACCUUAGAGUGGGGGACAACAUCCGGAAACGGAUGCUAAUACCGCAUAAGACCACAGUGCCACAUGGCACAGGGGUCAAAGGAGUAAUCCGCUUUAAGAUGAGCUCGCGUCCCAUUAGCUAGUUGGUGAGGUUACGGCCCACCAAGGCUACGAUGGGUAGCCGACCGGGGGUGGUGUGCGGCCACACUGGAACUGAGACACGGGCCAGACUCCGACGGGAGGCAGAAGUGGGGAAUAUUGGGAAAUGGGCGAAAGCCUGACCCAGCAACGCCGCGUGAUUGAAGAAUGUCUUCGGAUUGUAAAGAUCUGUCCUUGGGGACGAAAAAAAUGACGGUACCCAAGGAGGAAGCCCCGGCUAACUACGUGCCAGCAGCCGCCGUAA